rnacentral:rRNA from 1 species
CCUACGGGAGGCAGCAGUGAGGAAUAUUGGUCAAUGGCCGGAAGGCUGAACCAGCCAUGCCGCGUGAAGGUCAGUGCCCUAUGGGCGUUAAACUUCUUUUGUGCGGGAGAAAUAAUGGUCACGUGUGGCCAGACGAGAGUACCGUACGAAUAAGCAUCGGCUAACUCCGUGCCAGCAGCCGCGGUGAUAGGGGGGAUGCAAGCGUUAUCCGGAUUUAUUGGGUUUGAAGGGUGCGUAGGCUGUGAGGUAAGUCAGCGGUGAAAUGCCCCGGGUCAACGGGGUGAAGAGCCAUUGAUACUGGCUGGCUGGAGUGGGAGAGAAGUAUGAGGAAGGCGUGGUGUAGAGGUGAAAUGCAUAGAUAUAGCGCAGAACUCCGAUGGCGAAGGUAGCAUACGGGUGCCAAACUGACGCUGAGGCACGAAAGCGUGGGUAUCGAACAGGAUUAGAUACCCGGGUAGGC